UAUUGAUAAAGAGUUUAUCCUGCCUGCUGCUGAGGACAUUUGCUGUCAACUUUUAGGAGAGGCUGCAGUUCAAAUGGUGGCGCGUGUUUCUCUUUUGGCUAGCACCGUAACUAGAUGAAUUGAUGAAAUAGCAGAGGACAUUGAGGCAUGAUUGUUGAAGGGAUCAAUGAGUCAUUGAGAUACACAAUCCAGGUUGAUGAGUCUGCCAGUGUUGACAACAAGGCAAUGGUGCUUGUUUUUGUGUGACAUAUUUUUCAGGAGGAUGAGAAUGAGGAUGUGUUUUGUGUACUUUUGUUGCCAACCAACACCACAGCUGCAGAACUGUUCAAGUCUUUGAAAACUGAAUUGGUCAUUUUGUGUCAGUAUAUGCACAGCCAGAGCAGCUGCUAUGACUGGAUGGCUUUCUGGUUUCUCUACUUGGGUCAAGAAGGUGGCUUCUAAACAUGAGUCUACACACUGUGUAAUCUGUGGAGAAAUUCUGGUUAGCUAAAAAAUGUCACCUGAACUAAAGAAUGUUUUGCAGGAUGUGAUUAAAAGUUUCAACCACAUGCCUUUAUCUCAUGUCUGUUCACACAACUCUGUGAGGAGAUGGAUGCAGAGCACACACGUCUUCUCUUAUGUACAGAAGUGGGAUGGUCUUCUGAAGGUAGAUCCAUCUGCCAAGAGUGAGGUAUGAGUUAUGAGUUAUGAGAGCCACCUCAGAGAUUUCUUUUAGUAGAACAGUCACCACUGGCAGCACAUUUAAGUGACAGAGAAUGGGUUGCAAAACCUGCUUACUUGUGUGAAGUAUUCAACCUGCUCCAGUGAACACAAUCUGUCACUUCGAGGAAGAAUGACAACUGUUUUCAAGCUGGCAUAUAAAGUGGCUACAUUCAAAGCCAAACUGGAAUUAUGAGGGUGGCAGGUGAACAUGGGGAUUUUUGACAUGUUUCAAACAUUUGCAGAGAUUUUGAAAGAGACUGAACCAGGGCCUUCUUUCUCCCAGAUGGUGCAUGAUCACCUAUCUCAGCUUUCAAAAAAGUUUGAGCAUUACCUCCCAACCACAACAGACCCUUGAACUGUUAAGUAAUGGAUCUGCAACCUAUUUGUGACUAAGCCAGGUGAAUCAACUUUGUCCGUGCUAGAAGAGGAUUAACUACUUGAGAUCGCAAAUGACAGUGGGCUUAAAAGUGUUUUUGAGACAACCUCAAAUCUCCAUACCUUCUGGAUUAAAGUCAAGGCACAAUAUCCUGAGAUUGCCACAAAAGCACUGAAUAUUUCCAAUAUUCUAUCUUAGUGAAGCAGAGUUUUCUGCAGUGGCAGCAACCAAAACAAGAUUAUGGAGUAGACUGGACAUAAGCAACAUGCUUCAGGUGUGACUGCCUCUCAUCCCUCCUAGAUGGAACCAUCUAAUUGCAAGAAUAAGCUCAGGACUCCCACUGACUCUGCAUUAUGGAUGUUUUUCUUUUCUACAAAGUCAAAAAAGUCAUCCCUUGAAAGACAUAGAAAAUAAUCUUUUGAAAUAAAUGGAAAACUAUGGAAGCAUUGGACUCGCUGGACCGAAGAGAAAACAGUGACCAGGCUACAGAGGACAUUUUAAGAGUUCUAAAUAUGAAGCUGUCAGGUAGUGGGAUCCUGGGAAGGCAUGUGUAAGAGAAAGAACGCCGAUACCAAAAGGAGAUCUGAGGCAAGAAAACAACAUGAAGUGGAAAGGCAAGGAGAUAACUGGACAUGGAAUUUGAUAAUAUGGACAUUGGAAAGAUCUCAGAAUACACUCCAAGCCUUUCAUUAUAUUGGUAAGUCAGUUAACUUCUCUACACCUCAUUUCUUUUUCAUCUGCAAAGUGGCAAUAGGAGUAUUCAUCUUGGAGGGUUACUGUGUGAAUUGCUAGAGAUAAAAAUAAAAAUGUUCGGUAUUCGGUGGACACUAUUUUUAGAAUGUGGUCGAAAUCAGGUAAGGCAACUCUGAAGGGAAUGGGUGAGGGGGUACGUUCCAUCCACACAGAGCUGCCAAUGAAAGACUGGAUCUGAAGAAUGCAACGCUGAUCUCAGUUGAAAGCUGCUGAUCUGGAGUUGGAAGGGUCUGUAUCAAGUAAGA